GGGUUGUGAGGUUAAGCGACUAAGCGUACACGGUGGAUGCCCUGGCAGUCAGAGGCGAUGAAGGACGUGCUAAUCUGCGAAAAGCGUCGGUAAGGUGAUAUGAACCGUUAUAACCGGCGAUGUCCGAAUGGGGAAACCCAGUGUGAUUCGUCACACUAUCGUUAACUGAAUACAUAGGUUAACGAGGCGAACCGGGGGAACUGAAACAUCUAAGUACCCCGAGGAAAAGAAAUCAACCGAGAUUCCCCCAGUAGCGGCGAGCGAACGGGGAGCAGCCCAGAGUCUGAAUCAGCUUGUGUGUUAGUGGAACGGUCUGGAAAGUCCGACGGUACAGGGUGAUAGUCCCGUACACCAAAAUGCACAGGCUGUGAACUCGAAGAGUAGGGCGGGACACGUGGUAUCCUGUCUGAAUAUGGGGGACCAUCCUCCAAGGCUAAAUACUCCUGACUGACCGAUAGUGAACCAGUACCGUGAGGGAAAGGCGAAAAGAACCCCGGCGAGGGGAGUGAAAAAGAACCUGAAACCGUGUACGUACAAGCAGUGGGAGCACCUUCGGGUGUGACUGCGUACCUUUUGUAUAAUGGGUCAGCGACUUAUAUUCUGUAGCAAGGUUAACCGUAUAGGGGAGCCGCAGGGAAACCGAGUCUUAACUGGGCGUUAAGUUGCAGGGUAUAGACCCGAAACCCGGUGAUCUAGCCAUGGGCAGGUUGAAGGUUGGGUAACACUAACUGGAGGACCGAACCGACUAAUGUUGAAAAAUUAGCGGAUGACUUGUGGCUGGGGGUGAAAGGCCAAUCAAACCGGGAGAUAGCUGGUUCUCCCCGAAAGCUAUUUAGGUAGCGCCUCGUGAAUUCAUCUUCGGGGGUAGAGCACUGUUUCGGCUAGGGGGUCAUCCCGACUUACCAACCCGAUGCAAACUACGAAUACCGAAGAAUGUUAUCACGGGAGACACACGGCGGGUGCUAACGUCCGUCGUGAAGAGGGAAACAACCCAGACCGCCAGCUAAGGUCCCAAAGUCAUGGUUAAGUGGGAAACGAUGUGGGAAGGCACAGACAGCCAGGAUGUUGGCUUAGAAGCAGCCAUCAUUUAAAGAAAGCGUAAUAGCUCACUGGUCGAGUCGGCCUGCGCGGAAGAUGUAACGGGGCUAAACCAUGCACCGAAGCUGCGGCAGCGACACUAUGUGUUGUUGGGUAGGGGAGCGUUCUGUAAGCCUGCGAAGGUGUGCUGUGAGGCAUGCUGGAGGUAUCAGAAGUGCGAAUGCUGACAUAAGUAACGAUAAAGCGGGUGAAAAGCCCGCUCGCCGGAAGACCAAGGGUUCCUGUCCAACGUUAAUCGGGGCAGGGUGAGUCGGCCCCUAAGGCGAGGCCGAAAGGCGUAGUCGAUGGGAAACAGGUUAAUAUUCCUGUACUUGGUGUUACUGCGAAGGGGGGACGGAGAAGGCUAUGUUAGCCGGGCGACGGUUGUCCCGGUUUAAGCAUGUAGGCUGGUUGUCCAGGCAAAUCCGGAUAAUCAAGGCUGAGGUGUGAUGACGAGGCACUACGGUGCUGAAGUAACAAAUGCCCUGCUUCCAGGAAAAGCCUCUAAGCAUCAGGUAACAUCAAAUCGUACCCCAAACCGACACAGGUGGUCAGGUAGAGAAUACCAAGGCGCUUGAGAGAACUCGGGUGAAGGAACUAGGCAAAAUGGUGCCGUAACUUCGGGAGAAGGCACGCUGGUGUGUAGGUGAAGUCCCUGCGGAUGGAGCUGAGACCAGUCGAAGAUACCAGCUGGCUGCAACUGUUUAUUAAAAACACAGCACUGUGCAAACACGAAAGUGGACGUAUACGGUGUGACGCCUGCCCGGUGCCGGAAGGUUAAUUGAUGGGGUUAUCCGUAAGGAGAAGCUCUUGAUCGAAGCCCCGGUAAACGGCGGCCGUAACUAUAACGGUCCUAAGGUAGCGAAAUUCCUUGUCGGGUAAGUUCCGACCUGCACGAAUGGCGUAAUGAUGGCCAGGCUGUCUCCACCCGAGACUCAGUGAAAUUGAACUCGCUGUGAAGAUGCAGUGUACCCGCGGCAAGACGGAAAGACCCCGUGAACCUUUACUAUAGCUUGACACUGAACAUUGAGCCUUGAUGUGUAGGAUAGGUGGGAGGCUUUGAAGCGUGGACGCCAGUCUGCGUGGAGCCAACCUUGAAAUACCACCCUUUAAUGUUUGAUGUUCUAACGUUGGCCCCUUACCGGGGUUGCGGACAGUGUCUGGUGGGUAGUUUGACUGGGGCGGUCUCCUCCCAAAGCGUAACGGAGGAGCACGAAGGUUAGCUAAUCCCUGGUCGGACAUCAGGAGGUUAGUGCAAUGGCAUAAGCUAGCUUGACUGCGAGCGUGACGGCGCGAGCAGGUGCGAAAAGCAGGUCAUAGUGAUCCGGUGGUUCUGAAUGGAAGGGCCAUCGCUCAACGGAUAAAAGGUACUCCGGGGAUAACAGGCUGAUACCGCCCAAGAGUUCAUAUCGACGGCGGUGUUUGGCACCUCGAUGUCGGCUCAUCACAUCCUGGGGCUGAAGUAGGUCCCAAGGGUAUGGCUGUUCGCCAUUUAAAGUGGUACGCGAGCUGGGUUUAGAACGUCGUGAGACAGUUCGGUCCCUAUCUGCCGUGGGCGCUGGAGAAUUGAGGGGGGCUGCUCCUAGUACGAGAGGACCGGAGUGGACGCAUCACUGGUGUUCGGGUUGUCAUGCCAAUGGCACUGCCCGGUAGCUAAAUGCGGAAGAGAUAAGUGCUGAAAGCAUCUAAGCACGAAACUUGCCCCGAGAUGAGUUCUCCCUGAGACUUUAAGUCUCCUGAAGGAACGUUAAAGACGAUGACGUUGAUAGGCCGGGUGUGUAAGCGCAGCGAUGCGUUGAGCUAACCGGUACUAAUGAACCGUGAGGCUUAACCUUACAACGCCGAAG
rnacentral:rRNA from 1 species